CCCUCGUCCUGACUUCUCUGGGUCAUUUCAUUCGCACCUCCCUUUCAAGCCAUCUGGGAUCCUGCGGCUGGGCUCUAAUGCGGAACACCUGGCCUGACAGCGCCUGCCGCGGCUCCUCUCACCUGCCAGCCUCCCCGGGACCCAGUGAGCCCUGGGCACGCACAGCAGCAGCCCUUCCAGUGUCAGCCUCUUCCCUGCUCCUCGGAGAUGAAGUCAUGGAAUCCCAGGCCCCAUCACCACGAUCAUAAAUGGAAACGCCUCCUGCGUAGCUGUGAGACGCUCCCAACUCCUAACAGGAGGCGCAUGAUUGGGAAAUAAUGCCAACAACAAAACGUGGUCGGUGAACCAGAGCUUCUUGUUUCC
rnacentral:lncRNA from 1 species